rnacentral:rRNA from 1 species
UACGUAGGGCGCGAGCGUUGUCCGGAUUUAUUGGGCGUAAAGAGCUCGUAGGCGGCUCGUUGCGUCGGCUGUGAAAACCCGCAGCUCAACUGUGGGCUUGCAGCUGAUAUGGGCGGGCUGGGAUUCGGUAGGGGAGACUGGAAUUCCUGGUGUAGCGGUGAAAUGCGCAGAUAUCAGGAGGAACACCGGUGGCGAAGGCGGGUCUCUGGGCCGAUAUCGACGCUGAGGAGCGAAAGCGUGGGGAGCGAACAGG